rnacentral:rRNA from 1 species
GACGAACGCUGGCGGCGUGCUUAACACAUGCAAGUCGAACGAAGUGGCGACCGGGUGAGUAAUACGUGAGUAACCUGCCCUCCUUUUUGGGAUAAGCUUUGGAAACGGGGUCUAAUACCGAAUAAAGGGGGUUGGGCUCGCGGCCUAUCAGCUUGUUGGUGGGGUGAUGGCCUACCAAGGCGGUGACGGGUAGCCGGCCUGAGAGGGUGACCGGCCACAUUGGAACUGUGAUACGGCCCAGACUGCUACGGGAGGAAGCAGUGGGGGUUAUUGGACAAGGGGCGAAAGCCUGAUGCAGCGACGCCGCGUGGGGGAUGAAGGCUUUCGGGUUGUAAACCUCUUUCGUUAGCGAACGGGUAGGUGGAGAAGAAGCGCCGGCUAACUACGUGCCAGCAGCCGCGGUAAUAC